rfam:Lactobacillus parafarraginis F0439 genomic scaffold Scfld143, whole genome shotgun sequence.
UGAUGACAUUAGGGGAGCCGUUUGGCUGAGAUGCAUGAACAUGAUGCGAACCCUUCGAACCUGAUCUGGUUAACGCCAGCGAAGGAAAUUGUCGGGAGGCCUCC